CAGCCGCCACGGUAAUACAGAGGGUGCGAGCGUUAAUCGGAUUUACUGGGCGUAAAGCGUGCGUAGGCGGCUAAUUGAGUCGGAUGUGAAAUCCCCGAGCUUAACUUGGGAAUUGCAUUCGAUACUGGUUAGCUAGAGUGUGGGAGAGGAUGGUAGAAUUCCAGGUGUAGCGGUGAAAUGCGUAGAGAUCUGGAGGAAUACCGAUGGCGAAGGCAGCCAUCUGGCCUAACACUGACGCUGAGGUACGAAAGCAUGGGGAGCAAACAGGAUUAGAGACCCCAGUAGUCCCUGUCUCUUAUAC
rnacentral:rRNA from 1 species